GAUUUUGUGCCAACUAGCCAUGCCAACUGUCCCCAGCUGGUCCAGACUGGUGCAGACUAUGCCCAACUGGAAAUCGUGAGUAAAAUCUGGCAAAAAAAAUAAGAUAAAGUAAAACAAAAUUGUGAAGUGUGUCCUCAGCUUCAGACACAAGAGAAAGAAUGCAAUGAGAAAAGCAUAAAGGUUGUUUUUUUUCUUUCAUUUUAAUCAUAUUUUGUUCCAAACUGGUAAAUGAAGUCAGCUCAGCUGGUGUUGAUUUUAAGGUUCUAAGUGGGAAGCCGCUGAUCUAAGUGUCUAUAUACUAAGCAGAUAAAGCAGCUCCAGCUGCUGCUCAGACUUUACGCUUUAAUAUUCACUAACAGCUGAAAAAUGCAGAAAACUGUGCAGACAAACACAUUAUCAUUAAUCUAUAUGCAGACAUGAACACCCACAGACACCCACAGCAGCCCUGCACUCACUUAUAAGACCUCUGCACACCCACACAAACACACAGGGAUACACACUCCUAUGCAAAUACCUCUCAGUUAAAGUGCAGUAUAUGUACCACACAGAGUGCUCUAUAAUAUGGUCUCUCUGUGAAAACACUGUAUAUAACACUCUGAUUAAAAUAAUUAUACUGUAUAUAUGCACACACUCUCAAUAUAUAAUCCCAUCUGCAGACAUGGAAGUGUGUACAUAUUUAUUUCUCCUCUGUGUAUCUGCAACUGUAAUGUAAACGGUGAAUAUCAUCAGUGACAUCACUCUGCAGUGAAUCAGCUGAUCUGUCUGCCAUUUCUCUGUUUGUGCAGAAAGUCUUCCUUCCACCACUCCUCUCAGGUAUCACCCAGCAUCAUCACCACCCGGAGAGUCUGCAGAACAAGAACAGAGCAGGAGAAAAGCUGAUGUUCACCUUUACGGACAGGGAAAUCUGCAGCUCCUGCAGUGACUGAGUAUCAAAGAGCAGAGUGUUGCAGAAAAAGAGCAAUCAUUAUGAGGAAAUGAGGUUAGCUUUUACAGGGUUACAGUCUGCGGUCAGUUAAACAGAGAGC